GAAAUGCGAUACGUAAUGUGAAUUGCAGAACUCAGUGAAUCAUCAAAUUUUUGAACGCAAAUUGCGCUAGUAGUAAUACUAGCACACUUGUUUGAGUGUUGUUUAAUAAAAAUACAUAUUAACUUAUGGAAAUUAGUAAUCAUUCUUUCUGAUUAUUUAAAUAUUAAUAUAAUAUAAUUUUAAUUAUUAAAAAUCUAUUUAUUUUAAUAUCCUAUUAUCAACCUCAAAUCAAGUGAGACUACCUGCUGAAUUUAA
rnacentral:misc_RNA from 1 species